rnacentral:rRNA from 1 species
AUUGAACGCUGGCGGCAGGCUUAACACAUGCAAGUCGAGCGGAAACGAUGGUAGCUUGCUACCAGGCGUCGAGCGGCGGACGGGUGAGUAACACUUAGGAAUCUACCUAGUAGUGGGGGAUAGCACGGGGAAACUCGUAUUAAUACCGCAUACGACCUACGGGAGAAAGGGGGCAGUUUACUGCUCUCGCUAUUAGAUGAGCCUAAGUCGGAUUAGCUAGAUGGUGGGGUAAAGGCCUACCAUGGCGACGAUCUGUAGCUGGUCUGAGAGGAUGAUCAGCCACACCGGGACUGAGACACGGCCCGGACUCCUACGGGAGGCAGCAGUGGGGAAUAUUGGACAAUGGGGGAAACCCUGAUCCAGCCAUGCCGCGUGUGUGAAGAAGGCCUUUUGGUUGUAAAGCACUUUAAGCAGUGAAGAAGACUCUUCGGUUAAUACCCGGAGACGAUGACAUUAGCUGCAGAAUAAGCACCGGCUAACUCUGUGCCAGCAGCCGCGGUAAUACAGAGGGUGCAAGCGUUAAUCGGAAUUACUGGGCGUAAAGCGAGCGUAGGUGGCUUGAUAAGUCAGAUGUGAAAUCCCCGGGCUUAACCUGGGAACUGCAUCUGAAACUGUUAGGCUAGAGUAGGUGAGAGGGAAGUAGAAUUUCAGGUGUAGCGGUGAAAUGCGUAGAGAUCUGAAGGAAUACCGAUGGCGAAGGCAGCUUCCUGGCAUCAUACUGACACUGAGGCUCGAAAGCGUGGGUAGCAAACAGG